ensembl:miRNA Mir6969 microRNA 6969
GUUCCCAGCAGAGUAGGGAGCAAAAGAUAACCAAGUGACUCUGUUGUUCCCAUCUCUGCAG